UAGCGGAGGGAUCAUUACCGAGUUUACAACUCCCAAACCCAAUGUGAACGUUACCAAACUGUUGCCUCGGCGGGAUUCUGCCCCGGGUGCGUCGCAGCCCCGGACCAAGGCGCCCGCCGGAGGACCAACCAAAACUCUUAUUGUAUACCCCCUCGCGGGUUUUUUUAUAAUCUGAGCCUUCUCGGCGCCUCUCGUAGGCGUUUCGAAAAUGAAUCAAAACUUUCAACAACGGAUCUCUUGGUUCUGGCAUCGAUGAAGAACGCAGCGAAAUGCGAUAAGUAAUGUGAAUUGCAGAAUUCAGUGAAUCAUCGAAUCUUUGAACGCACAUUGCGCCCGCCAGUAUUCUGGCGGGCAUGCCUGUCCGACCGUCAUUUCAACCCUCGAACCCCUCCGGGGGGUCGGCGUUGGGGAUCGGCCCUCCCUUAGCGGGUGGCCGUCUCCGAAAUACAGUGGCGGUCUCGCCGCAGCCUCUCCUGCGCAGUAGUUUGCACACUCGCAUCGGGAGCGCGGCGCGUCCACAGCCGUUAAACACCCAACUUCUGAAAUGUUGACCUCGGAUCAGGUAGGAA
rnacentral:rRNA from 1 species